rnacentral:rRNA from 1 species
UAGGGAAUCUUCCACAAUGGACGCAAGUCUGAUGGAGCAACGCCGCGUGAGUGAAGAAGGUUUUCGGAUCGUAAAGCUCUGUUGUUGGUGAAGAAGGAUAGAGGUAGUAACUGGCCUUUAUUUGACGGUAAUCAACCAGAAAGUCACGGCUAACUACGUGCCAGCAGCCGCGGUAAUACGUAGGUGGCAAGCGUUGUCCGGAUUUAUUGGGCGUAAAGCGAGCGCAGGCGGAAGAAUAAGUCUGAUGUGAAAGCCCUCGGCUUAACCGAGGAACUGCAUCGGAAACUGUUUUUCUUGAGUGCAGAAGAGGAGAGUGGAACUCCAUGUGUAGCGGUGGAAUGCGUAGAUAUAUGGAAGAACACCAGUGGCGAAGGCGACUCUCUGGUCUGCAACUGACGCUGAGGCUCGAAAGCAUGGGUAGCAAACAGG